UUUCCGUAGGUGAACCUGCGGAAGGAUCAUUAUUGUGUAACCGAGUUCCAAGGGCUGUUGCUGACCCGACAGGUCGUGCACGCCUGACUGCCCUCACACACAUACAUCUCACCCCUAUGUGCACGACCGCGUGGGUCCCCCUUUGGCUUGUUCGGCGGGGGGCUUACGUGCUCACACAAACUUUUUAUGCAGUUUAGAAUGUAUUUUUUGUUUUUACGAUCACGCAAUCAAUACAACUUUCAACAACGGAUCUCUUGGUUCUC
rnacentral:misc_RNA from 1 species